rnacentral:rRNA from 1 species
UCCUACGGGGGGCAGCAGUCGGGAAUAUUGCGCAAUGGAGGAAACUCUGACGCAGUGACGCCGCGUGCAGGAAGAAGGUUUUCGGAUUGUAAACUGCUUUAGACAGGGAAGAAACGAGACAGUACCUGUAGAAUAAGCUCCGGCUAACUACGUGCCAGCAGCCGCGGUAAUACGUAGGGAGCAAGCGUUAUCCGGAUUUAUUGGGUGUAAAGGGUGCGUAGACGGGAAAUUAAGUUAGUUGUGAAAUCCCUCGGCUUAACUGAGGAACUGCAACUAAAACUGAUAUUCUUGAGUGUUGGAGAGGA